CUUUCAGGAGGCAGCCAUCAGCAACAAAACCACAAUGCUGGUCUUGGCUGGCUGAAUGCAUUCAGCAGCUGCUCUGUUCCAAGCUCUGGGCAAGCCACAGCUAUCCAGAUUCCCACUUGUCCUGUGUCUUCUGCCUCAGUUGCAGUACAGCAUCUUGAGCUAGAAGGACCACUAAUUGACCAGCCUGGACGGGUUGCCAGCACUGCAGUACAGGCAGCUUCCUAUCCCCAGUAGUCUGUGCCUUUCCCCGCUUCGCUCCAGUUCCAGUCCUUCCUGAUACGAAGCUUGUGACAUCUUCCAAGCCCUCCUUGCGUUCAAGACUCUAAUUCGGCAUGUGGUAUGCUGUGCUUUUCCAGCAGGCUGCUUUUCGUCAUUAUCUUUCAACCCAAGUGCGUAUUCAGGAUGGAUAUGUUCUUUCUUCAGUUAUGGCCGAUAACUAAAAUGCCCCUACUUCGGAUCAACUCAUUAUCCCGAAUAAACGAUGUGUCAUUCCCAUUAUUUAUGUUUCACUGCAGCCAAAGUAUCUGGACCUCGUUUUGGUAAGCACCAUUCAUUUCGACCCAUUCAGUAUUAAUCUCCCUGCUAACAUCUUUCCUGUCC
ensembl:lncRNA